GACGAACGCUGGCGGCGUGCUUAACACAUGCAAGUCGAACGGAAAGGCCCUGCUUUUGUGGGGUGCUCGAGUGGCGAACGGGUGAGUAACACGUGAGUAACCUGCCCUUGACUUUGGGAUAACUUCAGGAAACUGGGGCUAAUACCGGAUAGGAGCUCCUGCUGCAUGGUGGGGGUUGGAAAGUUUCGGCGGUUGGGGAUGGACUCGCGGCUUAUCAGCUUGUUGGUGGGGUAGUGGCUUACCAAGGCUUUGACGGGUAGCCGGCCUGAGAGGGUGACCGGCCACAGUGGGACUGGGAUGCGGCCCGGACGCCUACGGGAGGCAGGAGUGGGGAAUAGUGCACAAUGGGCGGAAGCCUGAUGCAGCAACGCCGCGUGCGGGAUGACGGCCUUCGGGUUGUAAACCGCUUUCGCCUGUGACGAAGCGUGAGUGACGGUAAUGGGUAAAGAAGCACCGGCUAACUACGU
rnacentral:rRNA from 1 species